GGCUUUUCUGGGAGGUGGGGAAAGGGACAGAGCCGCGUGCUCUGUCCCUUCCCCCACCUCCCGCAAAAGCC
rnacentral:miRNA from 1 species